GACGAACGCUGGCGGCGUGCUUAACACAUGCAAGUCGAGCGAUGAAGCACCUUCGGGUGUGAAUUAGCGGCGAACGGGUGAGGAACACGUGAGAAAUCUGCCUUCAACUCUGGGAUAACUCCGGGAAACCGGGGCUAAUACCGGAUAUGAGCCUUGAUCGCAUGAUCGGGGCUGGCAAGUUUUGCGGUUGAAGAUGAUCUCGCGGCCUAUCAGCUUGUUGGUGAGGUAACGGCUCACCAAGGCGACGACGGGUAUCCGGCCUGAGAGGGCGACCUGACACACUGGGACUGAGACACGGCCCAGACUCCUACGGGAGGCAGCAGUGGGGAAUAUUGCGCAAUGGACGAAAGUCUGACGCAGCGACGCCGCGUGAGGGAUGAAGGCCUUCGGGUUGUAAACCUCUUUCAGUAGGGAAGAAGCGAAAGUGACGGUACCUACAGAAGAAGCACCGGCUAACUAUGUGCCAGCCGCCGCGGUAA
rnacentral:rRNA from 1 species